ensembl:lncRNA
GUUUACUUAAAAAUAAACAUUUAUGAAAAUGUUCUCAUCCUCAGGCCAUCCAAGAUGUAUAAUCUGUAAUAAUGCUUCCUCCAGUGAGAAGUCGAUCUCCUGUUGUCCUCUCACAUCAAAAUCCACCCACACAGUAUUUGUUUAGAACUGUUUUCAUUGCCUGAACUAUGCAUAUUUCUCACCUGAUUCAGCCUAAACAAUAGUUUAACUGACUGAUAGAUUGUAGACUUGUUUAAAGUUGAAAAUGUCUUCAUAAAUUUGUUUCUUACAAACAUAUAGCUUUUCACUACAAAAGAUGUUAAUUGAUAGAUUGGAUUGGUGUGGAUUAUUGUGGUGUUUUUAUCAGCUGUUUGGACUCUUAUUCUGACGGCACCCAUUCACUGCAGAGGAUCCAUUAGUGAGCAAGUGAUGCAAUGCUACAUUUCUCCAAAUCUGUUCUGAUGAAGAAAGAAGCUAAUCUACAUCUGAGACGCUACCAUGACGGCACAAGACGUUUCACGGUGAAGUACAUUAACAUGACAAGAGAAGAAUUUCAGCUGAGCUUGGUUGUUUAAGUGUUACCACUUCACGGGCAGAUCUCGUCACAGAUUAUAGCUUCUCUUUCUGUCGUAUAGUCGCUGUCUUUCGUCUUUGUUCAGGGAAGCGGUGAGUGAUAAUAGUGUACGACAUGCCUCGCAAUCGGCCUGUGUGCGCAGCCUUACUUCUGCUUGGCGAAGUCCCUAUAAAGCUAUUUUCUGCUGCCAAUCCCUUUAAUGGCAAGUGAAAUUUUGACAGAUUGUGGUGAGAGGGGAACACGAGCAUGCGUAAAGGGAUUUGGCCACAGGGAUGACCCACCCUUUGUUCAGGCGUAGUGGUCACCUGUCAGUCCUCACAAUGCAGAGCCGCCCCCUUUCAACUCUUGCAACCUGGGCCCUUAGAUCUCAUUUGCUUUGGUAGAGAAGCGAUUCAGAGUCCUGCAAGGGAAGUUUGGGGGAACAAAACUGUUUCAUCCAGGACUAUUGAGAGCAAACAAAAAGAAGUCAGUGGGUGGAAGAGCUGCUGUUGGUACACACAAUGUCAGUAAGAUGGACCAGUGUGACAUCUGGAGGACAACUUUCAUCCGCUACUAUCAAACCUAUUCACUGUCGCUUUAGUGGGCACAUGUAGCCUACUUAAAAAGAAACUGCUUUUAAAAGCAUGUUUAUCAUGACCCUUUAC